rnacentral:rRNA from 1 species
UAUACCGUGAAACUGCGAAUGGCUCAUUAAAUCAGUUAUCGUUUAUUUGAUAAUACCUUACUACUUGGAUAACCGUGGUAAUUCUAGAGCUAAUACAUGCUGAAAAUCCCGACUUCGGAAGGGAUGUGUUUAUUAGAUAAAAAACCAAUGCCCUUCGGGGCUCUUUGGUGAUUCAUGAUAACUUAACGGAUCGCAUAGCCUUGCGCUGGCGACGGUUCAUUCAAAUUUCUGCCCUAUCAACUUUCGAUGGUAAGGUAUUGGCUUACCAUGGUUUCAACGGGUAACGGGGAAUUAGGGUUCGAUUCCGGAGAGGGAGCCUGAGAAACGGCUACCACAUCCAAGGAAGGCAGCAGGCGCGCAAAUUACCCACUGUCAAUACGACGAGGUAGUGACAAUAAAUACUGAUACAGGGCUCUUUUGGGUCUUGUAAUUGGAAUGAGUACAAUUUAAACCUCUUAACGAGGAACAAUUGGAGGGCAAGUCUGGUGCCAGCAGCCGCGGUAAUUCCAGCUCCAAUAGCGUAUAUUAAAGUUGUUGCAGUUAAAAAGCUCGUAGUUGAAACUUGGGCCUGGCUGGCGGGUCCGCCUCACCGCGUGCACUCGUCCGGCCGGGCCUUCCUUCUGAAGAACCUCAUGCCCUUCACUGGGCGUGCUGGGGAAUCAGGACUUUUACUUUGAAAAAAUUAGAGUGUUCAAAGCAGGCCUUUGCUCGAAUACGUUAGCAUGGAAUAAUAAAAUAGGGCGUGCGUUUCUAUUUUGUUGGUUUCUAGAGACGCCGCAAUGAUUAACAGGAACAGUCGGGGGCAUCAGUAUUCAGUUGUCAGAGGUGAAAUUCUUGGAUUUACUGAAGACUAACUACUGCGAAAGCAUUUGCCAAGGAUGUUUUCAUUAAUCAGUGAACGAAAGUUAGGGGAUCGAAGACGAUCAGAUACCGUCGUAGUCUUAACCGUAAACUAUGCCGACUAGGGAUCGGGCGAUGUUCUUUUUCUGACUCGCUCGGCACCUUACGAGAAAUCAAAGU